AGAGUUUGAUCCUGGCUCAGGACGAACGCUGGCGGCGUGCUUUAUACAUGCAAGUCGAACGAUGAAGUUCCUUCGGGAAUGGAUUAGUGGCGAACGGGUGAGGAACACGUGAGAAACCUGCCUUUCAUUCUGGGAUAACACCGGGAAACCGGUGCUAAUACCGGAUACUCCAUCUUGGCGGCAUCGCCGAGCUGGGAAAAAAUUUUGAUGAAAGAUGGUCUCGCGGCCUAUCAGCUAGUUGGUGAGGUAAAGGCUCACCAAGGCGACGACGGGUAGCCGGCCUGAGAGGGCGACCGGCCACACUGGGACUGAGACACGGCCCAGACUCCUACGGGAGGCAGCAGUAGGGAAUAUUGGGCAAUGGGCGAAAGCCUGACCCAGCGACGCCGCGUGAGGGAUGAAGGUCUUCGGAUUGUAAACCUCUUUCAGUAGGGAAGAAGCGAAAGUGACGGUACCUAAAGAAGAAGCACCGGCUAACUAUGUGCCAGCAGCCGCGGUAAUACAUAGGGUGCAAGCGUUGUCCGGAAUUAUUGGGCGUAAAGAGCUCGUAGGUCGUUUGUCGCGUCGAUUGUGAAAAUCUGAGGCUCAACCUCAGACCUGCAGUCGAUACGGGCAAACUAGAGUGUGGUAGGGGAGACUGGAAUUCCUGGUGUAGCGGUGGAAUGCGCAGAUAUCAGGAGGAACACCAAUGGCGAAGGCAGGUCUCUGGGCCAUAACUGACACUGAGGAGCGAAAGUGCGGGGAGCAAACAGGAUUAGAUACCCUGGUAGUCCGCACCGUAAACGGUGGGCACUAGUUGUGGGAACCUUCCACGGUUUCCGCGACGCAGCAAACGCAUUAAGUGCCCCGCCUGGGGAGUACGAUCGCAAGAUUAAAACUCAAAGGAAUUGACGG
rnacentral:rRNA from 1 species